AAUCAGAUCAAUUAACAAUUAAUCUUACUAUCAAAUCCACCUUCAUGAAACUAUAAAAAUUUCAAUCCAUGUAUAUAAUUAUAUUGUAACCCACCUCCACUUUUACAUAAAUUGCACCUUGACCUGACAUAUUCUUAUUUAAAGAAAAAGAAAAUUUACUCUAAAAAGACUCUCUUAUGACGGAGAUAUACAAACUGAUAAACAAGCAAAAGUAACUUGAAUCGUGGGAUGUCGAUUAAGGGGCAGGUUCCUCUGAAAAGACUAAAAUACCGCCAAAUCCUUUGGGUUUCAAGAACAUAACUAUUACUACCCAGGCAAAAAUU
rnacentral:rRNA from 1 species